GACGAACGCUGGCGGCGUGCUUAACACAUGCAAGUCGAGCGGUAAGGCCCUUUCGGGGGUACACGAGCGGCGAACGGGUGAGUAACACGUGGGUGACCUGCCCUCAGCUCUGGGAUAAGCCUGGGAAACUGGGUCUAAUACCGGAUAUGACUUCGCAUCGCAUGGUGUGGGGUGGAAAGUUUUUCGGCUGGGGAGUGGGCCCGCGGCCUAUCAGCUUGUUGGUGGGGUGAUGGCCUACCAAGGCGACGACGGGUAGCCGGCCUGAGAGGGCGACCGGCCACACUGGGACUGAGACACGGCCCAGACUCCUACGGGAGGCAGCAGUGGGGAAUCUUGCGCAAUGGGCGAAAGCCUGACGCAGCGACGCCGCGUGAGGGAUGACGGCCU
rnacentral:rRNA from 1 species